rnacentral:rRNA from 1 species
GUGCACCAGUCGCGAAUUUUUCACAAUGGGGGAAACCCUGAUGGAGCGACGCCGCGUGGAGGAUGAAGGCCCUCGGGUCGUAAACUCCUGUCAUGCGGGAACAAGAAAGUGAUAGUACCGCAAGAGGAAGAGACGGCUAACUCUGUGCCAGCAGCCGCGGUAAUACAGAGGUCUCAAGCGUUAUUCGGAUUCAUUGGGCGUAAAGGGUGCGUAGGUGGCGAUGUAAGUCUGGUGUGAAAUCUCGGAGCUUAACUCCGAAACUGCAUUGGAUACUGCGUUGCUUGAGGAUUGUAGAGGAGAGUGGAAUUCACGGUGUAGCAGUGAAAUGCGUAGAUAUCGUGAGGAAGACCAGUUGCGAAGGCGACUCUCUGGGCAAUUCCUGACACUGAGGCACGAAGGCCAGGGGAGCAAACGGGAUUAGAUACCCGGGUAGU